rnacentral:rRNA from 1 species
CAAACUGAAGAUGGCGACCGGCGCACGGGUGAGUAACACGUAUCCAACCUGCCGAUAACUCUGGAAUAGCCUUUCGAAAGAAAGAUUAAUACCGGAUAGUAUACGAAUAUCGCAUGAUAUUUUUAUUAAAGAAUUUCGGUUAUCGAUGGGGAUGCGUUCCAUUAGUUUGUUGGCGGGGUAACGGCCCACCAAGACUACGAUGGAUAGGGGUUCUGAGAGGAAGGUCCCCCACAUUGGAACUGAGACACGGUCCAAACUCCUACGGGAGGCAGCAUG